GCUUAGCCUUAAACAUUGAUAGCACCCUACAUCAGCUAUUCGCCAGGGGACUACGAGCAUAAGCUUAAAACCCAAAGGACUUGGCGGUGCUUAAGAUCCACCUAGAGGAGCCUGUUCUAGAACCGAUAACCCCCGUUUAACCUCACCCUCCCUUGUUUAUCCCGCCUAUAUACCGCCGUCGUCAGCUUACCCUAUGAAGGUCUAAUAGUAAGCAAAAUUGGCACAGCCCAAAACGUCAGGUCGAGGUGUAGCGCAUGAGAGGGGAAGAAAUGGGCUACAUUCACUACCAUAGUGAAUACGAAUGAUGAACUGAAAUGUUCAUCCGAAGGAGGAUUUAGCAGUAAGCGGAGAAUAGAGUGCUCCACUGAAACCGGCCCUAAAGCGCGCACACACCGCCCGUCACCCUCCCCCAGCUUAACUUAAAUAAUAAAUAAUAACACAAACACUGUUAAGGGGAGGCAAGUCGUAACAUGGUAAGUGUACCGGAAGGUGCACUUGGAAAAAUCAGAGUGUAGCUAAGACAGAAAAGCAUCUCCCUUACACCGAGAAGUCAUCCGUGCAAACCGGAUCGCCCUGAACCAAACAGCUAGCCCCACCCCAUAAAACCAAAAAAUCACCAUAAAUAACCCCAAAUACACAACCCAAUACACCAACUAAAUCAUUUUUCCACCCUAGUACGGGAGACAGAAAAGGACACACGGAGCUAUAGAAAAAGUACCGCAAGGGAACGCUGAAAGAGUAAUGAAACAAUCCAGUAAAGUACAGAAAAGCAGAGAUUAACCCUCGUACCUUUUGCAUCAUGAUUUAGCCAGUAAGCCCAAGCAAAGAGCACUUUAGUUUGACCCCCCGAAACUAAGUGAGCUACUCCAAGACAGCCUAUUUUAGGGCCAACCCGUCUCUGUGGCAAAAGAGUGGGAAGAGCUUUGAGUAGAGGUGACAAACCUACCGAACUUAGUUAUAGCUGGUUGCCUAGAAAUUGAAUAUAAGUUCAGCCCCCUGCCUUCUUCAUUCACACAACUCCUAAUGCCCCCGGUUACCCGAGAAGACAGGGGAGUUAGUCAAACGGGGUACAGCCCAUUUGACCCAAGAUACAACUUUUUUAGGAGGGUAAAGAUCAUAUUACCAAAGGGAAAAUGUUUUAGUGGGCCUAAAAGCAGCCACCUAAACAGAAAGCGUUAAAGCUCAGACAUAUUAAUAACCCCUAUAAUCCGGACAACCCGCUCUUAACCCCCUACUUCCCACUAGGCUGUUUCAUGCAAACAUGAAAGCACCAAUGCUAAAAUGAGUAAUAAGAGAGCACCGACCUCUCUCCUAGCACGCACAUACAUCGGAACGGACCCCCCACCGAACAUUACCGGCCCCAAACAAAGAGGGCAAUGCACAACCAACAAACAACCAGAAAACCCCCCAAGAAACAACCGUUAAGCCCACACUGGCGUGCCCCCAAGGAAAGACUAAAAGAAAAAGAAGGAACUCGGCAAACACCCUAAGCCUCGCCUGUUUACCAAAAACAUCGCCUCUUGUAAUUUAAAAAUAAGAGGUCCCGCCUGCCCAGUGACACUAAGUUCAACGGCCGCGGUAUUUUGACCGUGCAAAGGUAGCGCAAUCACUUGUCUUUUAAAUGAAGACCCGUAUGAAUGGCAUAACGAGGGCUUAACUGUCUCCUUUUUCAAGUCAAUGAAAUUGAUCUCCCCGUGCAGAAGCGAGGAUAACAACAUAAGACGAGAAGACCCUAUGGAGCUUUAGACACCAGAGUAGCCCUUGUCAAACACCCCCAGUAAAAGGGCAAAACCAAAAGGACCCUACUCCCCUGUCUUUGGUUGGGGCGACCGCGGGGAAUACAAAACCCCCAUGUGGAAUGGGAGAACCCCUCCUGAAACCAAGAGCCACGGCUCUAAGCAAUAGAACAUCUAACCAAAAGAUCCGGCAUGACCGAUCAACGAACCGAGUUACCCUAGGGAUAACAGCGCAAUCCCCUUCUAGAGUCCAUAUCGACAAGGGGGUUUACGACCUCGAUGUUGGAUCAGGACAUCCUAAUGGUGCAGCCGCUAUUAAGGGUUCGUUUGUUCAACGAUUAAAGUCCU
rnacentral:misc_RNA from 1 species